UACAGAGGUCCCAAGCGUUGUUCGGAUUCACUGGGCGUAAAGGGUGCGUAGGUGGUGAGGAAAGUCGGAUGUGAAAUCUCCAAGCUCAACUUGGAAACUGCAUUGGAAACUACCUUGCUAGAGGAUUUGAGGGGGGAUUGGAAUACUUGGUGUAGCAGUGAAAUGCGCAGAUAUCAGGAGGAACACCGGUGGCGAAGGCGGGUCUCUGGGCCGAAACUGACGCUGAGGAGCGAAAGCGUGGGGAGCAAACAGG
rnacentral:rRNA from 1 species